CCUUAUGAAAUUUUGGAGUGGAAAAUUUUUUUGAAAUUUUUUUCUGAUUUUUUAUUCUUUUUUUAAUUUAAAGCACUAUUUAAGUGAAAAAAAACUUAUUGCAACAAAUUCCCAUCAAAAUAUAUCACAUUUAAAAUUUUUGCUACAUUGCUCAAAAAUGAGGAAAAUUUUACAUUUUCUCAAACAGGGUAUGGAACUUGGUUCCUCGAAUAACUUCUGGCACAGACAUCUGAGGGCAUGGCUGUCGAAGAAGAAAAUGUAGCCAUUGGUGCCAUCUAUCGACCACAGGUUAAAGAUUGGCGAUUCGUUGGAUACCGACCGAGUUAUAGGCUAAAUUUGGUGCAAAAAUGAGAAAAAACUUCAUUUUUUUUAGUUUUUUGAUUUUUUUUAUUAUUUUUCACUCUUUUUUCAUUUCAAGCAUUAUUUGAGUGAAAAGAAACUCAUUGCAACCCAUUGGCAUUAAAAUAAAACAAUUUAAUUUUUUUUGCAAAAUUUCCCAAAAAAAUCGUAAGGGGUAAGCCUUAUGAAAUUUUGGAGUGAAAAAUUUUUUUGAAUUUUUUUUCUGAUUUUUUAUUCUUUUUUUAAUUUAAAGCACUAUUUAAGUGAAAAGAAACUUAUUGCAACAAAUUCCCAUAAAAAUAUAUCACAUUUAAAAUUUUUGCUACAUUGCUCAAAAAUGAGGAAAAUUUUACAUUUUCUCAAACAGGGUAAGGAACUUGGUUCCUCGAAUAACUUCUGGCACAGACAUCUGAGGGCAUGGCUGUCGAAGAAGAAAAUGUAGCCAUUGGUGCCAUCUAUCGACCACAGGUUAAAGAUUGGCGAUUCGUUGGAUACCGACCGAGUUAUAGGCUAAAUUUGGUGCAAAAAUGAGAAAUAUUUUCCUUUUUUAUUUUUAAUUUUUUGAUUUUUUUUUAUUAUUUUUCACUUUUUUUUAUUUCAAGCAUUAUUAGAGUGAAAAGAAACUCAUUGCAACCCAAUGGCAUUAAAAUAAAACAAUUUAAUUUUUUUUUGCAAAAUUUCCCAAAAAAAUCGUAAGGGGUAAGCCUUAUGAAAUUUUGGAGUGGAAAAUUUUUUUGAAAUUUUUUUCUGAUUUUUUAUUCUUUUUUUAAUUUAAAGCACUAUUUAAGUGAAAAGAAACUUAUUGCAACAAAUUCCCAUCAAAAUAUAUCACAUUUAAAAUUUUUGCUGCAUUGCUCAAAAAUGAGGAAAAUUUUACAUUUUCUCAAACAGGGUAAGGAACUUGGUUCCUCGAAUAACUUCUGGCACAGACAUCUAAGGGCAUGGCUGUCGAAGAAGAAAAUGUAGCCAUUGGUGCCAUCUAUCGACCACAGGUUAAAGAUUGGCGAUCCGUUGGAUACCGAUCGAGUUAUAGUCAAAACUUGGUGCAAAAAUGAAGAAAAUUUUACAUUUUCUCAAACAGGGUAUGGAACUUGGUUCCUCGAAUAACUUCUGGCACAGACAUCUGAGGGCAUGGCUGUCGAAUAAGAAAAUGUAGCCAUUGGUGCCAUCUAUCGACCACAGGUUGAAGAUUAGCGAUGCGUUGGAUACCGACCGAGUUAUAGGCAAAGCUUGGUGCAAAAAUGAAGAAAAUUUUACAUUUUCUCAAACAGGGUAUGGAACUUGGUUCCUCGAAUAACUUCUGGCACAGACAUCUGAGGGCAUGGCUGUCGAAGAAGAAAAUGUAGCCAUUGGUGCCAUCUAUCGACCACAGGUUAAAGUUUGGCGAUCCGUUGGAUACCGAUCGAGUUAUAGUCAAAACUUGGUGCAAAAAUGAAGAAAAUUUUACAUUUUCUCAAACAGGGUAUGGAACUUGGUUCCUCGAAUAACUUCUGGCACAGACAUCUGAGGGCAUGGCUGUCGAAUAAGAAAAUGUAGCCAUUGGUGCCAUCUAUCGACCACAGGUUGAAGAUUAGCGAUGCGUUGGAUACCGACCGAGUUAUAGGCAAAGCUUGGUGCAAAAAUGAAGAAAAUUUUACAUUUUCUCAAACAGGGUAUGGAACUUGGUUCCUCGAAUAACUUCUGGCACAGACAUCUGAGGGCAUGGCCGUCCAAGAAGAAAAUGUAGCCAUUGGUGCCAUCUAUCGACCACAGGUUAAAGAUUGGCGAUUCGUUGUAUACCGACCGAGUUAUAGGCAAAACUUGGUGCAAAAAUGAAGAAAAUUUUACAUUUUCUCAAACAGGGUAUGGAACUUGGUUCCUCGAAUAACUUCUGGCACAGACAUCUGAGGGCAUGGCUGUCGAAGAAGAAAAUGUAGCCAUUGGUGCCAUCUAUCGACCACAGGUUAAAGAUUGGCGAUUCGUUGGAUACCGACCGAGUUAUAGGCAAAACUUGGUGCAAAAAUGAAGAAAAUUUUACAUUUUCUCAAACAGGGUAUGGAACUUGGUUCCUCGAAUAACUUCUGGCACAGACAUCUGAGGGCAUGGCUGUCGAAGAAGAAAAUGUAGCCAUUGGUGCGAUCUAUCGACCACAGGUUAAAGUUUGGCGAUCCGUUGGAUACCGAUCGAGUUAUAGUCAAAACUUGGUGCAAAAAUGAAGAAAAUUUUACAUUUUCUCAAACAGGGUAUGGAACUUGGUUCCUCGAAUAACUUCUGGCACAGACAUCUGAGGGCAUGGCUGUCGAAUAAGAAAAUGUAGCCAUUGGUGCCAUCUAUCGACCACAGGUUGAAGAUUAGCGAUGCGUUGGAUACCGACCGAGUUAUAGGCAAAGCUUGGUGCAAAAAUGAAGAAAAUUUUACAUUUUCUCAAACAGGGUAUGGAACUUGGUUCCUCGAAUAACUUCUGGCACAGACAUCUGAGGGCAUGGCUGUCGAAGAAGAAAAUGUAGCCAUUGGUGCCAUCUAUCGACCACAGGUUAAAGUUUGGCGAUCCGUUGGAUACCGAUCGAGUUAUAGUCAAAACUUGGUGCAAAAAUGAAGAAAAUUUUACAUUUUCUCAAACAGGGUAUGGAACUUGGUUCCUCGAAUAACUUCUGGCACAGACAUCUGAGGGCAUGGCUGUCGAAUAAGAAAAUGUAGCCAUUGGUGCCAUCUAUCGACCACAGGUUGAAGAUUAGCGAUGCGUUGGAUACCGACCGAGUUAUAGGCAAAGCUUGGUGCAAAAAUGAAGAAAAUUUUACAUUUUCUCAAACAGGGUAUGGAACUUGGUUCCUCGAAUAACUUCUGGCACAGACAUCUGAGGGCAUGGCCGUCCAAGAAGAAAAUGUAGCCAUUGGUGCCAUCUAUCGACCACAGGUUAAAGAUUGGCGAUUCGUUGUAUACCGACCGAGUUAUAGGCAAAACUUGGUGCAAAAAUGAAGAAAAUUUUACAUUUUCUCAAACAGGGUAUGGAACUUGGUUCCUCGAAUAACUUCUGGCACAGACAUCUGAGGGCAUGGCUGUCGAAGAAGAAAAUGUAGCCAUUGGUGCCAUCUAUCGACCACAGGUUAAAGAUUGGCGAUUCGUUGGAUACCGAUCGAGUUAUAG